rnacentral:rRNA from 1 species
GUCAGCAGCCAUAGCAACUGUGGUUUGAACCAGGAAAUUGAAGCUAAGUCAUUUUGGGCCUGGCCAGUAGUUGUAUGGGAACCCAACUAGAAAAGGCUGGGUUGCUGCUGGAA